rnacentral:rRNA from 1 species
AACGAACGCUGGCGGCGUGGAUAAGACAUGCAAGUCGAGCGCUCAUUCCAGGGUAGCAAUAUUCUGGAGUGGGAGCGGCGCAAGGGUGCGUAACACGUGGGUAAUCUGCCGUGAAGUUGGGGACAACUCGCUGAAAGGCGAGCUAAUACCGAAUGUGGUCACCGGGAGGCAUCUUUCGGUGAUUGAAGUUGGGGACCGUAAGGCCUGACGCUUCACGAUGAGCCCGCGGCCUAUCAGCUUGUUGGCGAGGUAACGGCUCACCAAGGCUAAGACGGGUAGCUGGUCUGAGAGGACGACCAGCCACACUGGAACUGAGACACGGUCCAGACACCUACGGGUGGCAG